rnacentral:misc_RNA from 1 species
GUGAAUCAUCAAAUCUUUGAACGCAAAUUGCACUCUCCUGUUUUCCGGGAGCGUAUGACCGGUUGUGGGUCAGCCUAAAUAAAAUCGGCUUAGUAGUUUGCUGUGUUUUUCACGGUAACGUUGGUCGGAAUUUGGGUCACCUUAAACCGAAAGGUUUUUAAGCGAUUUAAAAUUUUCUUACGAUCUCGCGAACGUUUCUAAGAUUUUCUUGCACGUUCAAGUUAUCGAUAUUAGACUUGACCCUCGUAUCGGAUCGCGACCCUUAUAAUUUCUUUAACUGACCUCUGACAGGUAAGAGUAA